ACUCACGUGGUGGAAUUGGUAGACACGCCAUCUUGAGGGGGUGGUGUCCAUACGGAUGUGCCGGUUCGAAUCCGGUCGUGAGUA
rfam:Bacteroidetes bacterium R-53146 genome assembly, contig: Ga0061079_102